UACGUAGGGUGCAAGCGUUAAUCGGAAUUACUGGGCGUAAAGCGUGCGCAGGCGGUUCGUUAAGUUCGAUGUGAAAGCCCCGGGCUCAACCUGGGAAUUGCAUUGGAAACUGGCGGGCUUGAGUGUGGCAGAGGGGGGUGGAAUUCCACGUGUAGCAGUGAAAUGCGUAGAGAUGUGGAGGAACACCGAUGGCGAAGGCAGCCCCCUGGGCUAACACUGACGCUCAGGCACGAAAGCGUGGGGAGCAAACAGG
rnacentral:rRNA from 1 species